rnacentral:rRNA from 1 species
UACAGAGGGUGCAAGCGUUAUUCGGAAUCACUGGGCGUAAAGAGCUCGUAGGCGGUUAAUUAAGUCAUAUGUGAAAGCCCUGGGCUCAAUCCAGGAAGAGCAUCUGAUACUGAUUGACUGGAGUGCAGGAGAGGAAAGCGGAAUUCCAGGUGUAGAGGUGAAAUUCGUAGAUAUCUGGAGGAACAACAGAAGCGAAGGCGGCUUCUGGACUGUCACUUGACGCUGAGGAGCGAAAGCGUGGGGAGCAAACAGG